rnacentral:tRNA from 1 species
GGGCCUGUGGCGCAACUGAUAACGCGUCUGACUUCGGAUCAGAAGAUUCCAGGUUCGAAUCCUGGCAGGCUCG